UCUCUGCUCCCCCCUUCUCUCUCCUUCUCUACCUCUCCCUCGCCCUCUCUUUCACUCUCUCUCUCUCUCUGUCCAAUGCAGGCGGCUCUAAGUUGGGAAGCUCAUUAAUUAGCGGGCCGGGGGUAGGAGGAGCCGGCUGGAAUUAGCCUGCCUAAUGCGCCUGUCAGUCCGGGCGCUGCGCCGCGCUCGGCCCGAGCUGUUUGUAAAUUACAUUAGCGGCGCCUUUAUUGCACCCGAACCUCGGGCGACUGAAAAGCCACCGCCCCCACCCCAAACUGAGAGCCGAGCUCCGGGCGCACCCGCCUCCCGCAGGCCUGGUUGCGGUGGCAGCGCCAGCCCGGAGGUCUCAGGCUCUCCAACCCGGGAUUUGGAGUCCGAGAAGGGUGGCGGGAGCCCCAACAAGGGAGGGACGCGGCCGCGGCGCGGGUCAGGUAAGAACAGGAGUCCGGGUGGGCCCGGUUCCGCCCACUGUGGACUUUGCCAAGCCGAAAUCAAGAACCUAGCCCCAUUCCCGGAUCCUUGUCCCUCACCCCCAGCUCUGGGCCAUGUGCUUGGAGAAAGGGAACCUGAAGCCCUCCUGGACUGGCGCGCAGGAGGUCAACCUAACCCUGUAUUCGGCCUCUGACUGCUUUACCCACACAACCUCCCUCACCUCGGUGAGUCUCCGACCAAUACGCUCGCACAGGCUCCGCAGGCUCUCCAGUCCAGGGCAGGCGCAAGGAGGCCCCUAGCCGGACUUCAGGUAUGGCGGCCGAAGCCCGGGCCCCUGGGGAAGUCUGGAUUUACUCUGGCGCUGGUGGCUCCGGUUUGACAGCCAAAUCUCCAUCCCAGGAUUCCUAGAGGCUCAGCAGGGCAGCUCAGGUGUCUAUGGAGAUGCAGAUGAGGUGGAGUGAUGGCACUUUGACCUCACACUGCUCCGCUGCUGGCUGUAAGAUUUUGCCGAUGAGGUGCCAGGCAUUGGACUCCUUCUCUCCAGUUCUCACCGUCUCUAUUUUGCAGAAGAAGAAACACGUGAAGGUCUCAUCGCUCUAAUCAGCCUCACAAGGGGCAUUCGAACCCAGAUCCAGUUAGAAGCCUCUGCACUUUAAGCCUUUGCGGUCUUGCCUUGGACCCAGGGCCAACUAAGCCCAGAGGAGUUGGGUUGAAUUCUCAAGCGUUCGUCCCCUGCCCCUCCUGGCUCUAGGAAAGGUUUGAAAAUUUUAUUUUCGGGCUAACGAUUUUGGCGGCGCCUAAAGAAGGACGGAAGUGAGACCAAGGAGGAACCUAAGUUACAGGCGAGCCCCUAGGGAGGCGGCAGCGGCAGGGUCGAAUUCAAAUCCCUUCUGGACUUGUGCUCUUUGGAGUCUGUCCUAGUCUGGCUGUUCUGUGGGGCCUAUUUUGGGACAGUCCUGGACCAAGAGGGAGAAGAAGCCGAAGCAGAUAAUUCCCCCACUAUUCCUCUCUCUCCAGGGGCACCUCGCUGGGGUCGGAUCCCUAGCUGGAGGAGGGGUUGGCUGUUGGGGAGCGGAAUGGAAGCAUAAGCCUAGGAACCUCCGGGUGGGCGGGGAGGGACUGGAGUCAGGCUCUCCGGCGACCAGGUACCAAGUCCUAGCGCAUGGUCGCUUUGUGGCAGCCCCAACAGGCCACGCGUACCUCGCCACAAGUCCCAUUACGUUGUAUUUAUGCUUCAGUUUAUUGUCUCUCCCCCUCUCUUAUUAUGGUCUCACUCUGGGGGAGGCAAAGGAUAUAAUAUAUUCAUCUUUAUUAUACCAAAUCUGUGUGAAGCAUUUAAUAAAAUGCUGUUUCCG